AUUUCAAGCACGGAUCGACGUCAAGAAGGACACAAGAAGCUUUAGAUUGUCUUCACGAAGCUCGGAGAAGAAAAAUGAAGUGAUUUGGAUGUCGGAAAGUUGAGAUACGACGAGUUACAGGUUUAGCCAGAAUAUCGAAGGAUUUUUCGGCAAGUUCGGUCGGUUUUAGGACCUUUGAAAGUGAACGACGACGGCGACGACGACCGGCGAGUCUAACCGGAGAAGAAGAUAGAAUAUUUCGUCAAAGUUGACGGAAUAUUCUGACGCCGUCAAGUAAAAUUAAUGGAUUCCGUGAGACUUAUCCCGAGGACAAACGCAGUCAAGGGCAACUCGGGGGCUACAACCAUUCGACAUACCAGUUUUAGGUAAGCUUGCCGUUGCUGGGUAUGAGGAUUUCGGUGGUUCUGACAUAUUAAAAUAAUUAUAGGACAUCUUAUGGUA
rnacentral:sRNA from 1 species